rnacentral:rRNA from 1 species
CCGCGGUAACACCGGCGGCCCGAGUGGUGAUCGUGAUUAUUGGGUCUAAAGGGUCCGUAGCCGUUUGGUCAGUCCUCCGGGAAAUCUGAUAGCUCAACUAUUAGGCUUUCGGGGGAUACUGCCAGACUUGGAACCGGGAGAGGUAAGAGGUACUACAGGGGUAGGAGUGAAAUCUUGUAAUCCCUGUGGGACCACCUGUGGCGAAGGCGCUUUACCAGAACGGGUUCGACGGUGAGGGACGAAAGCUGGGGGCACGAACCGGAUUAGAUACCCGGGUAGUCCCAGCCGUAAACGGAUGCUCGCUAGGUGUCAGGCAUGGCGCGACCGUGUCUGGUGCCGCAGGGAAGCCGUGAAGCGAGCCACCUGGGAAGUACGGCCGCAAGGCGUGAAACUUAAAGGAAUUGGCGGGGGAGCACAACAACGGGUGGAGCCCUGCGGUUUAAUUGGACUCAACGCCGGACAACUCACCGGGGGCGACAGCAAUAUGUAGGCCAAGCUGAAGACUUUGCCUGAAUCGCUGAGAAGUGGUGCAUGG